rnacentral:rRNA from 1 species
AAUUUUCCGCAAUGGGCGAAAGCCUGACGGAGCAAUACCGCGUGAGGGAGGAAGGCUUUUGGGUUGUAAACCUCUUUUGUUAAGGAAGAAGAAAGUGACGGUACUUAACGAAUAAGCAUCGGCUAACUCCGUGCCAGCAGCCGCGGUAAUACGGAGGAUGCAAGCGUUAUCCGGAAUCAUUGGGCGUAAAGCGUCCGCAGGUGGUUAAUCAAGUCUGCUGUUAAAGACAGAAGCUCAACUUCUGGUCGGCGGUGGAAACUGGUAAACUAGAGUACGGUAGGGGUCGAGGGAAUUCCCAGUGUAGCGGUGAAAUGCGUAGAUAUUGGGAAGAACACCAGUGGCGAAGGCGCUCGACUGGGCCGUAACUGACACUCAGGGACGAAAGCUAGGGUAGCGAAAGGGAUUAGAUACCCCUGUAGUCCUAGCUGUA